rnacentral:misc_RNA from 1 species
AACCAUAGAAACCUGCGGAGUACCUGCGGAGGGAUCAUUACCGAGUUUACAAACUCCCAACCCUAUGUGAACCUUACCAAUCGUUGCUUCGGCGGGCUUAGCCCCCGCGCCCUCGCCGGCGCCGGGAGAAAGGCGCCCGCCGGGGACCCCAAACCCAGUGUUUUUCAUGCAGUAUUUCUGAGUGGCAAACGCAAAAAUAAAUCAAAACUUUUAACAAUGGAUCUCAGAUCGGAAGAGCAC